rnacentral:sRNA from 1 species
GGGGAAAGGUUCCAUGUG